rnacentral:piRNA from 1 species
UGCCUUUCUGUAGGCUGGUGUUGUUGCC